rnacentral:miRNA from 1 species
AUUAUGUUGGUGCAAAAGUAAUCACAGUUUUUGCCAUUACUUUCAAAGUUAUUGCAAAAACAACAACAACUUUUUGCACCAACCUAAUA